CAGUAGCCGCGGGAAUACGUAUGUCACAAGCGUUAUCCGGAUUUAUUGGGCGUAAAGCGCGUCUAGGUGGUUAUGUAAGUCUGAUGUGAAAAUGCAGGGCUCAACUCUGUAUUGCGUUGGAAACUGUGUAACUAGAGUACUGGAGAGGUAAGCGGAACUACAAGUGUAGAGGUGAAAUUCGUAGAUAUUUGUAGGAAUGCCGAUGGGGAAGCCAGCUUACUGGACAGAUACUGACGCUGAAGCGCGAAAGCGUGGGUAGCAAACAGGAUUAGAUACCCCUGUAGUCCCUGUCUCUUAUACC
rnacentral:rRNA from 1 species